rnacentral:rRNA from 1 species
UACGAAGGGUGCAAGCGUUACUCGGAAUUACUGGGCGUAAAGCGUGCGUAGGUGGUUCGUUAAGUCUGAUGUGAAAGCUCCGAGCUCAACUCGGAAAUGGCAUUGGAAACUACCUUGCUCGAGGGUUUGAGGGGGGACUGGAAUACUUGGUGUAGCAGUGAAAUGCGUAGAUAUCAAGUAGAACACCAGUGGCGAAGGCGAGUCCCUGGAAAACUCCUGACACUGAGGCACGAAAGCUAGGGGAGCAAACAGG